GCCCGUUGAGCUCCGUUGGUAGAGCAGCCGACUCUUAAUCGGCAGGUCGUGGGUUCGAUCCCCACAAUGGGCU